rnacentral:lncRNA from 1 species
UCAGCCCUUCUUCUCAAAGCUAAGUCUUUUUCUCACUCAAUUCUAAUUUAAUCGAUACUUAAUCGGACUAGGCAAAGUGCCAAUAUUCUUGUUUUGCAUAAACUCAAAUUAUGCUCGCUUAAAACUUCAUAUGAACUGUCACUUGUUCAUGAAAGCAUAGUUGGGGUGUUUACUCAGUUCAAGAUGCUUAUACGUCGUAUCUCCUUGUGAAACUACUCAUGAUCAUGCUUUGAUAUGAAUGCUCACUGGUAUGAAUAUUUACUGGAAUGGAAUAAUGACAUAGCAUUAAUACCUUGAAGGUUUGUGGGUUGUUGAAUGAACUGAGAAAAUCUUGAAGUUGCUUCGUUUGAUUGAUGAACUGUUUGCUGAACUUGAGUAGUUUUAACUAGGGUGAUAACUUCUGAGCUUCGGCCGAGACGAACUGGACUGAUC